AUCACUAGCUCACUUUCAACUCGGUUGUAUUGAGUUUUCCUCCACACCACUUGUCUGCCUACUCAAUCUGAUCCACCAAACAAAUACUCCAGUAAACUAAUAAUCAGAGUAGAUUGUAUUGUGCACCCAAACAACCUAAAGGAAGUGGCCUUUUCAAGCAAAUCCAGAAAAAAACAAAACAAAAAAAAAACAACCACCAAAAACAAAGAGCUCAGAGUUCACACACAAACAUCUCUUUUGGAUUUAACAGUUAUAUCCAGUAGUGGGCAGCGGAUUGUCUUCAUGCACAUAGGAUAUGUAGACUUGGACGAAGAUCUGUAUUUGAGGAGGCCUGAGGUGAGAGAGUUCCGUAGCUCAGAGUAUCGCUCUUACUGACCGUGGACUACAGAUGACCAAGGAUAGGCCCGGACGCUGCAAUGGUGGACACACUGCUAGACGGACGUUGCCGGCUGCCUUGGUGGAGAGAGGCACCGCUGUGGGCUCCCACUCGCACAGCCAUAUCCCUCACCCCUGCAAACAGCUGGACUCUUAAGUUGAAUUAUGUUUUAUUUGUCUCCCAUUUUAUCAGACUGCACUCUCCCUGUUCUAGUAUGUAAAAUUGUUUUGUGUUUUUAUUGAACUCCUGGUAUUUUUUGUUUUAACCUUACUUUCUUGUUUCUCUUUUGAACUCACUGACCUAUACCUCUACCCACCAUCCUGGUGUAAUAGCCUUAAUACCUGGGCUUGAUUGUUUAGGUAUGUUGUUGUUCAGUGUUGUGUUUGCUCCAUACACAGUUUAAAAACAACUUUUGUGCUUAUAAAUCAUUUAAUUGUUUACCAUCCAAAUUUUCAACUUGGAAAAUAGCUCUUUGUAACUCUGUGAGCUUUACAAUACUCAUUCAUAAAAAUAGUGUCUCAGUUUGUUUCCUAGGAGUUCAUAUCUUCUUUUAGGGACCUCACUUGAGCAAGUACAGCAGUAGUAGCCUACAGUUGGUUUGCAAUCAUAAGGCAUUUGUCAUGUAUUAUUCUGUGUGACAUGCAAAUGCCUUUCUUACAUCAAAUAGGAUAUGCUCUACUUAAGCUUUAAUCAUGCAGGGACACUUGAGGAGGGUGAGCAGAAAAUUCACUUUCUCCCUUGAAAGCCAAAAGAGAUCCAGUAGCGUUCACUGUGGUCAAAUUAAUGUCAAGACAUGAAAUGUGAUGGUUGAAUAUUAUUUGUAAGGUUUAUAACAAAGUUCAAGCGGUGCAGUGGUUAGCACCUCACAGAUAGAAAGCUCCGGGUUCAAGACCUGGCUGAUCCGGGGCCUUUCUGUGCAGAGUCUGGAUGUUUGUCUCUGUGCCUGCGUGGGUUCUCUCCGGGUAG